GCAGCCCGCCGGCCCAUUGAGGAAAGAUGGCUACAGUCACUGCAAACGGAGUGCAGCAAGAGAAUGGAUUCAGCACCACGAACAGCGCCGGCAGGAUGAACGGGCUUACCAUCGGCCAGAACACCAUUCCAAUGAAGGACCACGACGCCAUCAAGCUUUUCAUCGGGCAGAUUCCCAGAAACCUGGAGGAAAAAGACCUGAAACCCCUGUUUGAGGAAUUCGGAAAGAUAUACGAACUCACUGUUCUGAAAGACAGGUUUACGGGAAUGCAUAAAGGAUGUGCCUUUCUAACAUACUGUGCCAGAGAGUCAGCACUGAAGGCCCAGAGCGCCCUCCAUGAACAGAAGACUCUGCCAGGGAUGAACCGGCCCAUCCAGGUGAAACCUGCUGACAGCGAAGGACGAGGAGAAGACAGGAAGCUGUUUGUUGGGAUGCUCGGCAAGCAGCAAAGUGAGGAUGAUGUCCGGCGGCUGUUCGAGACCUUCGGCCAGAUUGAGGAGUGCACCGUCCUCCGAGGGCCUGAUGGGGCCAGUAAGGGCUGUGCCUUUGUCAAGUUCUCCAGCCAUGCAGAAGCACAGGCCGCCAUCAACAGCUUGCAUGGUGGUCAGACUAUGCCUGGUGCCUCGUCGAGCCUGGUGGUCAAAUUUGCCGACACUGAUAAGGAGAGAACCCUGCGCAGAAUGCACCAGAUGGCAGGCCAGCUCGGCAUCUUCAGUCCUAUGACCAUCCAGUUUGGGGCCUAUGGCGCCUACUCUCAUGCUGUAAGUCUCAGCCCGGCGGGGGAGGAGACGCAGAUGAUGCAACAGCAAGCAGCCCUGAUGGCAGCAACACAAGGGUCCUACCUGAACCCUAUGGCAGCCAUCGCUGCCGCACAAAUGCAGCAAAUGGCAGCUUUCAAUGUCAACGGCCUGGUGGCUACUCCCAUGACACCUUCCUCAGGCACCAGCACACCCCCAGGCAUCUCUGCCACAGCCGUGCCCAGCAUAGCCACUCCUAUUGGGGUCAAUGGAUUCAGUGCCCUCCCACCUCAAAGCAAUGGGCAGCCCACAUCCGAGCCCAUUUACACCAAUGGUAUUCACCCUUACCCAGCACAGAGUCCAACAGUGACCGACCCUCUCCAACAGGCUUAUGCUGGUGUCCAGCACUACGCAGCAGCCUACCCUGCCGCCUAUGCGCCAAUCAGCCAAGCGUUCCCCCAGCAACCAACCAUCAUUCCCCAGCAACAGAGGGAAGGGCCAGAAGGUUGCAACCUGUUUAUUUAUCACCUGCCCCAGGAGUUUGGAGACGCUGAGCUCAUGCAAAUGUUCCUACCUUUUGGCAACGUCAUCUCCGCCAAAGUGUUUGUGGACCGAGCGACUAAUCAGAGCAAAUGUUUCGGCUUUGUGAGUUUUGAUAACCCAUCCAGUGCUCAAGCCGCUAUCCAGGCCAUGAAUGGCUUUCAGAUAGGCAUGAAGAGGCUGAAGGUGCAGCUAAAGCGGCCAAAAGAUGCCAACCGACCUUACUGACUCGUCUGCUAUUCAUACCCAGGCCAAUCACAGUGUGAGGUGGCCUUUCUCCGCUAUAGCCACACACCCCCACACCUGUCAUGGGGCCAAGUUCCCUCAGCUGAUGAAGGGCCACAACACCUUAUUUCCACAAGUGCAGUAAAAGUACAAAGACUUCUUGCUCUGCUACAUAUCAUGAAGGAAGGGUGGUCCCUUGAUCCUCCUGGAAAGCCGCUGAAAGAUUGGGUGACUGAGAGAAGGAUCCCAGAGUUGUCGGGUUUUUUUGUUUGUUUAUUUAUUUUCGUUUUUCUUCGCAAAUGCCUCUUUUUUUCCUCUUUUGCUUUGGCGUCUGUGGAAGAAGAUUUUUUGCAGAGACCAACUUUUUGCUGCUGUUUUUUAGACAUGAUGGAAAAAAAAAAACCUUUAUAGACUCAUUAUGCUCAAAGCAUGCAUACUGACACAGGAUAUAGAUAAACACAGAAAACAAAUCAAACAUACACAUUUCAAAAAUGCUACACUUAAAGAAAAAAAAAAGAAAAAAAAAACUUUGUACAUGUAUAAAUAAGUGCAAAUGCCAACACAAGAACUGAAGCAAACUCAUGCGUGUGCGCACACACACACACAAAACAUACAAACACACACACCAGCCUGCUGCCAUUUUGGUUUUUGUGCCUACACAGGUGUUGUGCUCUGUGACAGGGCAAGCUCUGGAUCGAAGAAGAAAACAAGAAGAAAAGGAGAAAAGUGGAGAAUCCAGGAUAAUUUACAUGCAUCAUUCCUUAGGAAAUAGGGACCAAAGGACUAAACGCUUUUUAAAAGAAUAUAAAUAUAUAAAUAUAUAAAUAUAUAUUUAAAAACUCAUACCUUGUAGCUGCAAGUAUUACAAUUUACUCGUAGUAAAAAAACAAAAAAACAAAAACAUUAAAUCAAUAUCCAGUGGCCUACUGUAAGUAUGAAUAAAAGAACAUGGAAAUAAUGUAUAAAAAAAGACAUGGAAACGUAGUAUAGGGGCUGAUCUUUUGCUCUGGAUGCUGAUUUAGCACCAGGUUGUAGAGUAGUAGAGUAGACUAGAAAAAAAAAAGUGUAGAUUUGCUAACUUUUGCUGUUGUUUAAAAAAAUACUUGAAGUUGUAAUGAAAAUGGGGCAAAAGAGGGGUGGGAUGGUGUGGGGGGAAGCAUUCAUCUGCCCCUAAACGCAACAACUCUCUUUCUCUUGGAUGUUAACGUAUCAGCCACUGGAUAUCGCGCUCAUCAUUAUGUACAAGUCACCGCACUCUCUGACAGAUAUGGAGAUGAUCUUCUGGAAGAAAACAAAAGAAUAAGAAGAAAAAAAAGACUGACUUUACUGAUGUCUGUGCUGGACGGGGUGCAGAUGUUUAAGGCUUCACUGGCCUUUGUGUUCAAGCGACAAUCCACUGUAAAGACCAAGUAAAAUGGACAUGGGGUGUCUUUUUUUUUUUGUUGUUGGCCUUUUUGUAUUGCUACAUGAAGUGUGAAAUAUGAAGCCACAAACUUCUAAAAGGAGAUGAUUAAAAGUGAGAUGGACAAAUGGAUGGUCAUGACCGAAAGAGUAAAGAGGGAAGGAGAAAAAAGUGAUAGCUAUUGUAACUGCCAGCAGAAUGUAUUUGGUUUAGUAAUGAAUUAGCUCUUGUGGUAUCAGCAUUCUCUCAAAAAAACAAAGUAUGCCCAUCAUAAGCAGCCACAAAUUUGAAUGACAUGUCAAGGAUAUGUGUGUGUCCACUGAAGCUGCUGCAAAACUCUAGACUGAGAAAAAUUCAUUCUUGUCUGUUGGCAAAUUUCUCUAAAGAUGAAUUCAAUUUACUUCUGUAUUGCAGGAAAGGAGUGCCGGCUUUUAGAGCACAUUUACCUGUGUAAUGUUAAUUCCACUGUUAACAUGCUCCCUGACCUGCGUAAUGUACACAUUAUUCAUAAAGUCCACGGUAAAAAAAAAAGUAGAGCUUAAUGGCCUCGAUCUAAGAUAAUUCUAACAGUCACUCUUAAAAUCAUUCAACUCAUCUUUAGCUACACUGACACUGAUGCCAGGCACUCCAGUAGUGUCGUGUCUUGAUUUAGAGUCCUGUAGCCUCUGUUUUUUAACAAUUUACAGCUCUGGAAGCAGGCUCCUCUCUAAAACCAGAUCAAUAUGUUUCGAGUGAGUCUAGGGGGAGGAGCGAUGCUGUUUCAGUCACCACGAGCACUUCCCAAUUUUCUCCGCCGAACACCAGCUCAAAUCCAUAUACUAGCCCUCUAAGCACUGACAGCUGGCAAGGCUAGACAGAAGCAAGGAGAGAGUGGGGAGAAGAGGGGAAGUCAAGAACUCAUCACACCGAGAUCCUUUAAGCUGAUGCUGGUAGGUGAUGCCACAUGAUUUGACCAAAAAAAAAUAGAAACCCUAAUCAAGCUCUGGUGGCAAACAGUAUACAUAAUCUAAUCAUAAUCUGUGUUAUAUGCUUUCAAAAUCAGAUUAAACAGUCAAGUAGGACCUCAAGUUAAUACUUUAGGCACCAGUCCAACGAGCUCAUGUUAAGUAAUGAGAGUCUUCUUCUCCCUCUUUUUUGUUGAACUAGAAAAUCAGACCAGAAUUGGUCCAAAUCACUAAAGAAGGGACUGAUUAAAUGUGCCAGCAGAUUUCAUAGUUUUUAAUAUACUGCCUUUGCCACUUAAAAAAAAGCUGAAGGUACUAAUUUCAGCCCUUGAUAUUAACAUUCCACGUAGCACUUCCUUUUCUCCCGUCCUUAGAGCAGCCAUGCCUUUCUAAAUCACGGCACAAUUGUUUAGCGGCUCUCCCGUUGGAGCAGCAUUUUCGAACCUACCUAAUGCCUGUGCUCACUACCCUUCAAUUAUCUCUUGCACCACAUUAGACAUGCUAUUUCACCUUUCUCCCUAAUCACACUGUAAUCAUCAGCCUCUAUACAUUAGCAGCAACCAAGUGAAAAAUCACUGGGAUAAUCACUUGGACCAAAUGACGGGAGAGAUGGUCCCCUGCAUGCACAUGGAUGACAGAAGGAAGAUUAGGGAGAAUUAUGUUUGCGCCUACUCCCUGGCAAGGCUGGUGACAGCUGACCUGGCACCAAUAAUGUAGCCGAAUUUACCGAAGAGGCAAUGCAGGAUGAGGGAUAAAACCUUCCAUAUCAUAGCAAGGUUUUAAUGUUCCAGAGUAAUUUGACCAAAAACUAAAAGAGAAGGGCAGGUAGCAAAAUUGAUUUAGUUUUUGUUUUCUAUCACAAACAUUGCAGCAAUAGUUGCUUAAAACUGGGUCAAAUCCAACAUUUUUUACUAGAAAUCCUCAAUUCUGUUACUGUUCAGCUGCAGUGAGGCCUGUUGUUGUGAAUUUUCUUUCAGCAGCAACACUGCAUCUCAGAAGAUGAUGCCUGCAAGUUAUAGCCUCAUUCAUAUAUAUAUGUAUAUCUAUAUCUAUAU